rnacentral:rRNA from 1 species
AGUGAACGCUGGCGAUAGGCCUAACACAUGCAAGUCGAACGGCAGCACAGUAAGAGCUUGCUCUUACGGGUGGCGAGUGGCGGACGGGUGAGGAAUACAUCGGAAUCUACUUUUUCGUGGGGGAUAACGUAGGGAAACUUACGCUAAUACCGCAUACGACCUACGGGUGAAAGCAGGGGAUCUUAGGACCUUGCGCGAUUGAAUGAGCCGAUGUCGGAUUAGCUAGUUGGCGGGGUAAAGGCCCACCAAGGCGACGAUCCGUAGCUGGUCUGAGAGGAUGAUCAGCCACACUGGAACUGAGACACGGUCCAGACUCCUACGGGAGGCAGCAGUGUGGAAUAUUGGACAAUGGGCGCAAGCCUGAUCCAGCCAUACCGCGUGGGUGAAGAAGGCCUUCGGGUUGUAAAGCCCUUUUGUUGGGAAAGAAAAGCAGCAGGUUAAUACCCCGCUGUUCUGACGGUACCCAAAGAAUAAGCACCGGCUAACUUCGUG